rnacentral:rRNA from 1 species
GAUGAACGCUGGCGGCGUGCCUAAUACAUGCAAGUCGAGCGAACAGACGCGGAGCUUGCUCCUCUGACGUUAGCGGCGGACGGGUGAGUAACACGUGGAUAACCUACCUAUAAGACUGGGAUAACUUCGGGAAACCGGAGCUAAUACCGGAUAAUAUAUUUAACCGCAUGGUUCAAUAGUGAAAGACGGUUUUGCUGUCACUUAUAGAUUGAUCCGCGCCGCAUUAGCUAGUUGGUAAGGUAACGGCUUACCAAGGCAACGAUGCGUAGCCGACCUGAGAGGGUGAUCGGCCACACUGGAACUGAGACACGGUCCAGACUCCUACGGGAGGCAGCAGUAGGGAAUCUUCCGCAAUGGGCGAAAGCCUGACGGAGCAACGCCGCGUGAGUGAUGAAGGUCUUCGGAUCGUAAAACUCUGUUAUUAGGGAAGAACAAAUGUGUAAGUAACUAUGCACGUCUUGACGGUACCUAAUCAGAAAGCCACGGCUAACUACGUG